UACGGGGGGAGGACAGCUGUUGUGAAUUACUGGGCGUAAAGGGCUCGUAGGCGGCCAACUAAGUCAGACGUGAAAUCCCUCGGCUUAACCGGGGAACUGCGUCUGAUACUGGAUGGCUAGAGGUUGGGAGAGGGAUGCGGAAUUCCAGGUGUAGCGGUGAAAUGCGUAGAUAUCUGGAGGAACACCGGUGGCGAAGGCGGCAUCCUGGACCAAUUCUGACGCUGAGGAGCGAAAGCCAGGGGAGCAAAGCGGG
rnacentral:rRNA from 1 species